GAGAACUGAUAUUCCGAUGAGUGAAAUGAGGGAGUAACGCCCCGAAGCGCUCACACUGAUACUCCGACUGGCAUCAGCGUGCAACCGCCAAAGUGUCAGAAGCUCGGUAAAGUCGGCAGAGAGUAGUCGUAAAUAUGGCUAACUUCCAUAUACGAAAGCUAUCCAGCGGUGGAUGGUGCUACCUAUAUGCCGGGUGUCGGUUAC
rfam:Clostridiales sp. SS3/4 draft genome.